UAAGACGAACCGUGCGAACGUUAUUCGGAUUCACUGGGCUUAAAGGGCGCGUAGGCGGUGGACCCAGUCCGGGGUGAAAUCUUUCGGCUCAACCGGAAAAGUGCCUCGGAUACUGGUUCACUCGAGGGAGGUAGGGGCAUGUGGAACUUCCGGUGGAGCGGUGAAAUGCGUUGAUAUCGGAAGGAACGCCGGUGGCGAAAGCGACGUGCUGGCCCUCUUCUGACGCUGAGGCGCGAAAGCCAGGGGAGCAAACGGGAUUAGAUACCCCGGUAGUCCUGGCCCUAAACGAUGGGUACUAGGUAGUGGGCUCGCAUGGGUUCACUGCCGAAGCAAAAGUGAUAAGUACCCCGCCUGGGGAGUAUGGUCGCAAGGCUG
rnacentral:rRNA from 1 species